GAAGGUAUAGCUCAGAGGUAGAGCGCCUGCUUAGCAUGCAUGAGCUCCUGGGUUCAACCCCCAGUACCUACA
rnacentral:tRNA from 1 species